GAUGAAGAACGCAGCGAAAUGCGAUACGUAAUGUGAAUUGCAGAAUUCAGUGAAUCAUCGAAUCUUUGAACGCAUAUUGCGCUCUCUGGUAUUCCGGAGAGCAUGCUUGUUUGAGUAUCAGUAAACACCUCAACUUCCAUAUCUUUUUUGAAAUGGGAGUUGGACUUGAGUGAUCCCAACGCUUUUCCUCACCAAAAAGUGGCGGGUUACUUGAAAUGCAGGUGCAGCUGGACUUUUCUCUGAGCUAUAAGCAUAUCUAUUUAGUCUGCCUAAAAAACAGAUUAUUACCUUUGCUGCAGCUAACAUAAAGGAGAUUAGUUCUUGUGCUGACUGAUGCAGGAUUCACAAAGACGGCUUCGGCCGACUUUGUAAACUCGAUCUCAAAUCAAGUAAGACUACCCGCUGAACUUAAGCAUAUCAAUAAGCGGAGGA
rnacentral:misc_RNA from 1 species